rnacentral:snoRNA from 1 species
CUGCAUGUUAAGGAGAAAAUCAUUCUGCUCCUUAUUCCCGUAAGGAGCAUGAAUAUGUAUAUAACAUGCUAGAGAAAACAGGGAGUCUUCAGGGCCGCCAGCCUUGCAGUGCAGGCUGCGUGGUAGUAUGUGUCUCCUCCAUCU